GACGUUCGCACACCAUUUAGCUCUUCCAUUGGGUUGGAGUCAUUCCCUACUCCCUAUCCCCGGCUUUCCCUUUUACAAGACUUGAGAUAUGAUCACAUAACGCUGAGUAUAUGCUUUUAAAGGCGCUCUGGAACCCUCUAAUCUGCAUUUCAGCCUCGGUGGAUUUGCCUAUUCAGAACAUUCUAUAUAAAUGGAGUCAUACAACAUGUGGUCUCUGUGACUGGCUUCUUCCACGGUGUGUGCAGACUGGAUGCACGUGGUUCCGCGUAGCCACACCUCGGCCAGACUCAUCUCCCACUGUGUGUAUAGGAAGCAUUUGUUUAGCCUUUCCUCAGUCGAUGCUUACCUACUUUCCCCCUUUCUCUCGGUGUGAA
rnacentral:lncRNA from 1 species